rnacentral:rRNA from 1 species
AACGUAGGACGCAAGCGUUAUCCGGAUUUACUGGGCGUAAAGCGCGGGCAGGCGGCUUCGCAAGUUCGAUGUGAAAUCUCUCAGCUCAACUGGGAGCAGCCAUUGGAAACUACGGAGCUGGAGUCUGGCAGAGGUAGGCGGAAUUCCGGGUGGAGUGGUGAAAUGCGUAGAGAUCCGGAGGAACACCAGAGGCGAAGGCGGCCUACUGGGCCAGUACUGACGCUGAGCCGCGAAAGCCAGGGGAGCGAACGGG